rnacentral:lncRNA from 1 species
CUUUGAACAUCGACAUGACCAUAUAAGGAAAUAGAUUUGAUUCCCUUUUUCUCUUUAGCAAGAGCUUUAACAUUGCACAUCCAUUCUUCAACAUCAUGUCCUUUCAUCUUUAUCAAUAAAAUAAUAUGAUGAAGUAUGUCAUAGAAAGGGUUUCAAAAAGAGGAAAGAAAAAGAUUGUUAUAGCAAGAGGAUACCUUCGUAAGAAUCUUGAAAGUAGAGAGAGAGGAGCUGAAUUCCAUGUCUCCCUCUAUUUCCAGUCAAAUCUCAAGGAACCAUUGUGUCAGAUGGUGUAUGCAAUGAUUUCACUUCUUCUCCAAUGGCAUUGUACAUGGAUAUUAUUUAGUUUAGAAAUCAUCAUAAUAUGUUUAUCAUUCUUUUUCAAUUCAAAUGACCAUAUGGCAAUCAUGUCAGUCCAUACACAUUUUAAACUCUGUGUUGUAUUUCUCUUUUAUUCCUUUUCCUAUAUAAAAUAUUAAUUUAAAUUAAAAAAUCG